rnacentral:rRNA from 1 species
GAUGAACGCUAGCGGGAGGCUUAAUACAUGCAAGUCGAGCGGUAACUGACCGAUAGCAAUAUUGGUUAGCUAGAGCGGCGCACGGGUGAGUAACGCGUACAUAACCUACCCUAUACUGGGGGAUAGCCUUGGGAAACUGAGAUUAAUACCCCAUGGUAUUAUUUGGCCACCUGGUUGAAUAAUUAAAGUUGCGGCGGUAUAGGAUGGGUGUGCGUCUGAUUAGCUAGUUGGUAGGGUAACGGCCUACCAAGGCGAUGAUCAGUAGGGGGCGUGAGAGCGUGGUCCCCCACACGGGUACUGAGACACGGACCCGACUCCUACGGGAGGCAGCAGUAAGGAAUAUUGCGCAAUGGGCGACAGCCUGACGCAGCGACGCCGCGUGGGGGAUGAAGGUCUUCGGAUUGUAAACCCCUUUCGGCAGGGAAGAUGGAACGGGUAACCGUUCGGACGGUACCUGCAGAAGCAGCCACGGCUAACUUCGUGCCAGCAGCCGCGGUAAUUCUCG